CGCGGAAACGUUUUGACCGGUAGAGCGAACGACUAGAGGUACCGGGGGCCGUAACGGCCUCGACCUAUUCUCGAACUCCGAACGGGCAAGGAGCCGGGGUCGCCCGAUCGGACCCCGGACGUGAAGUCGACGAUGGUCGGUGGGCUGGUUUUGGUAAGCAGAACGGGCGAUUCGGGAUGAACCGGAAGCGGGGAGAAAGGGCCCGAGAUUGCGUCGACGCGGAUCCCGAAAAGGGCGUCGAUCCGUCGCGACAGCGGGACGGUGGUCAUGGAAGUCGAAAUCCGCUAAGAAGCGUGUAAAAACGUACCCGCCCAACGGAUCGGCCCCGAAAAUUGAUGGCGCUCGAACGCAACCCUCGAACCCCGCCGACGGAGGCUAGGGGAGGCCCCGUCGAGUAGGCGGACGCGCGGGUCGCUUCGACGCUCUCGCGCGAGCGGGGGCGGAGCGGCCCGUGGUGCAGAUCUUGGUGAUCGCU
rnacentral:rRNA from 1 species